UCCAUGUGCACCUGCUGUGUCUUUUCACCAGCAGCCUCCUUCCUGAAGUCUGAGAUGUUUCUGCAGGAAACAUGUGGAGAAAAUAGCUGAAUGUUUGACCAUGUGUCCUCCUGCUGGUUCCACAUACAUGAUUAUAGCGAUGAUAUGAUUAGAGUGACGAUAUAAUUAUGUAGAGGAGGUUUCCUCAUGGGAGCAGUGGAGGAGAUGAAAACCUGUCUGCUGUGUUCAGAUUUCAGUACGAUGGAGCAUCUUUGGGAUCCAUGGAGGCUCCUCUUCACAACUUCAAGGACUUAAAAGAUCUGCUGCUGACGUCUCGGUGCCUCGAACUCGACGGAUCGGAGCUGAUUUGGUGACAUGAAGGAGAUCUACACAAUAUCAGGCAAAUCAGAGACGGUUCAGCACAAACUGUCCUAAACAUCUGGUGAUAUGAGAUGAAGGAGCGUAUAAUAUACAGCGAUGUGGGGUCUCAAUACCUUAAUAUUAAAUUAUUUGAGUAAAUUUUGUAUUUCUAAUGUAAU
ensembl:lncRNA